GAAAUGCGAUAAUUAAUGUGAAUUGCAGAAUUCAGUGAAUCAUCGAGUCUUUGAACGCACAUUGCGCCCCCUGGUAUUCCGGGGGGCAUGCCUGUCCGAGCGUCAUUGCUGCCCUCAAGCACGGCUUGUGUGUUGGGCUUCCGUCCCUGGCAACGGGGACGGGCCCAAAAGGCAGUGGCGGCACCAUGUCUGGUCCUCGAGCGUAUGGGGCUUUGUCACCCGCUCCCGUAGGUCCAGCUGGCAGCUAUCCUCGCAACCAAUCUUUUUAACCAGGUUGACCUCGGAUCAGGUAGGGAUACCCGCUGAACUUAAGC
rnacentral:misc_RNA from 1 species